GUACUGAAGAUGUUGGAUAUAAAUUAUAAUAAUGGUUCUAGUUGUGGAAUACAAGACAUGCUAAAUAGGCAACUGAUAAACAAAAUCCUCCACCAUGAAAAUGAAAUUCAAAACUCUUAAUACGUUUGACCUGCAGUGGAGAUAACGCUCACUUCUCAGACAACCACCAACUACACCCAUCCGGCCUGUCCAUCUUUUUAAUUUCAUUCUUUCACCAAGAAACACCAAAUGAACACCAUGAGAAAAGGAAAAGGGAAAUCACUGUCCUACGGAUAUUAGAUGUACAUGAAAGAAAGCUAAGUUGGUUUCCGCAUAUUACGUCCUGCGCGAAUUACUUCGUCCACAAGUAGCAGCUGAGAUGCUAUGACAGGGCCAGAAUUCACAAUCUGACGCUUAACAGCAUAAUUGUCAAAUAUCCCUUCCAUCUGGGGAUCUAUAGGUUCACCAGUGUGCUGAUUUAGUCCAACAAUGUUUCCCUUGUCAUGUUCUCCCGUCAGCGCUAUAAUCACAUCUUGAGUAUCAAGGCCUGAGUUCUCAGCAAGUGUUUUAGGUAUCACAAGGAGGGCAUUAGCAAAAGCUUCCACACCAAGUUGGGCACGCCCUUUAACAGUUUUCUUCACUUCGUUGAUCAGGUAUUGUCGAGCUGCAACUUCAAAGGCCCCAGCACCCAGUAUAACUGCUUCAUCUUCAAUGGUAUUUUUUACUGCCCUUAGUCCAUCACGAACUGCAUCCUUGAUUUGAGCUAUUGUGUGGUCAUUAGGCCCUUUGAUAAGAAUUGUACAAGAAUGAGGAUUUUUAACAUUUUCUACAAAGGUAUACUUCUCUUCACCAAGAACAUGCUCAUAGACCAGCCCAGCCCAGCCAAGGCACUCAGGAGUCAAAUCAUCAACAGAGUUAACUGCCUCCCCGCCACAAGCCAAAACCAAACGUUCCAUAUUUCUCCUCUUUGCCCUCCGGAGUGCGAUUAUUCCUGCCCGAGCAAGUUGAUCUAGAGAUGGAGGAUCAAUCCCCUUCUGAUUGAUAACAACAAAAUUCUUGUCAUUUCCAGCGCAGACCUGGUUCUUUAGGUCAAUUAUCUUUUGCACCCUCUCAUCAACAGAACGCCGUUCUGCAGCAACCAUCGCCUCUCUCUGCUCUGCAUUUGAGUAGAAAAAACCUGCAUUCACUUCACUCUUCUCAUAUUCAAGAGAGACGUUAGCAGUCAAAAUGUAACAGUUCUCUGCUCGCCUUUUCAUGUCUGGAUGUCUUGAA
rnacentral:misc_RNA from 1 species